GACGAACGCUGGCGGCAUGCCUAAUACAUGCAAGUAGAACGCUGAUGUACUAUGCUUGCACUGUGUUUGAGUGGCGCAAGCGUGUGUGUCACGCGUGUAACCUCCGCGCUAGCGGGGGGUAACACUUGGAAACACGAGUGAUAAUCCCACAUUAGUCGUUGUAGCAUGUGAUCCAGUGAAGAAAUGCAGCUUUUUCACUAACACAUGGACCUGCGCUGUAUUUGUUAGUUGGUGAGGUAACUGAUCACCAACGCAAGGAUACAUAGCCGACCUGAGAGGGGGAUCGGCCACACUGGGACUGAGACACGGCCCAGACUCCUACGGGAGGCAGCAGUAGGGAAUCUUCGGCAAUGGACGGAAGUCUGACCGAGCAACGCCGCGUGAGUGAAGAAGGUUUUCGGAUCGUAAAGCUCUGUUGUAAGAGAAGAACGAGUGUGAGAGUGGAAAGUUCACACUGUGACGGUAGCUUACCAGAAAGGGACGGCUAACUACGUG
rnacentral:rRNA from 1 species